GGGCCAUCCACAGUGGAAAUGCAAUGCCCCCCCCUUCUGGUUCCGUUGCUAGACGGACACUGCAUACUUUGAAUUUAUCCAAACUAUGCGUCUUCUUCAGUCCGUCCAAAGUCCGUCGAAGAACAGGAAAAUACCAAACCACAGAAGAAGAUAAAAAUAUGUGGCUUUCCACGAUGGGUUUAUGGGACAGCUAUCAACUUGCAAAUAAUUACCCAAUCCUAUAAUACGCUGUGCAGCCCAGCAUUCAGCCCAACCUGAGACUUGGCAGAUGUUCUGUCCAAACCUCGGGUGAUGGUCCAUGGUGACAUCUGUAGCGUGGUGUGUUCUGUGGAGAACGGGAGAGAGGUGACCCUGUCCUGGUACAAAGGAGGGGAGAUACUCAACCAGACCAGCAGCCCUGACCACAACAUCACCCUCUCUAUACCUCUCAAGGUGGAUGAACAGAACAGAGACUCUUACAGAUGUGAGGCUGCCAACCCAGUCAGCAAGGAGACAUCUGUUGUUCCACAUUCCUGUAUAGAGAGUGAUCCCUCUAAGGUGAAAGAUGGUGAUUGUCUUAUUGCAGUAAUCUGCAUUUUGGUUACUUUAGGACUUUGUUGGACUUACAAUAUAUCUGAAGAAGAGGAGAAACGGACACUCACAUGCAGGUAUUCAUCUUUUAAAGGGGAGGAGCAAAGAGGUAUAUCAGAACUGGAGUCACUUAGAGACAACCCUGACCUGACGUUAGUUUAUUAUACACUCCAGUUACAUCACAUGGCUGCCAGCGAGGAUGUUGACACUGCAUGAAGGUUGAGAGAGAACAGGAAGUUAAUGAGAGGGUGACAAGAUAAUUCACAUCCAAGAGAAGGUGUUACAUCCUAAAGUGAAUGUGGAGACAAAGUUAUAGUAAAUAUUUGUCUAGAAAACUUAAUGGACGCACAGUUAUUAGAGAAAAUUCCCAUUUAACCGUUGUGCUGUUAUCAUUUCCGACUUCCUUUGUUGGUCAUUCUCACAGUCUAUUGUUGAAUUGGGGCCUCGGUGAACAUCACUGAUAAAGACAAAUUCAAUAACUAUGCCUAGGGUUACUAGUAGGGUGAUCCCAUUUUCAAGUGCCCAAUGUAUAGGUUAAAACAAAUGGAACCUCUUUUAAUACAAUUCACUAGUGUGUUUGCUACGCUACUGCUGUGCCAAAGCUUCUUUUCAGUUCUGUCUGUUCUGUUGUUUAAAUGUAGGUGCCUCCCCUGUAUCGUUUUAUAGCUGGUCAUUGUUGCUGGUCAUAGCAAAACAGUCCUAUAGCUUAGCAUCUGCUUCAUCUGACCACUUUGUUAUUGACCGAGUCACUGGUGCUUUAGUUUUUGUUCGUAAUCAGGAAUCGGGAGGUUAGAAUUAUGGUCAGAUUUGCCAAAUGGAGGGCGAGGGAGAGCUUUGUAUGUGUCUCUGUGUGUGGAGUAAAAGGGGAGUAGAGGUUUUUUCCCUCCCUUUACAUUUAACAUGCUGGUAUAAAUGAGGUAAAAAUAGAUUUGACUUGUCCUGCAUUAAAGUCUCCGGCCACCAGGAGAGCAGCCUCUGGAUGAGUGUUUUCCUGUUUACUUAUGGUCGUAUACAGCUCAUUGAGUGUGGUCUUACUGCUAGCAUCGGUUUGUGGUGGUAUGUAAAUAUACAGAUGGUUCGAAAAAUACAGAUGAAAACUCUUGGUAAACUGUGUGAUACAGCGUAUCAUGAGAUACUCUACCUCAGGCGAACAAAACCUUGAGAUUUCCAUGGAUUUCGUGCACCAGCUGUUGUUUACAAAUAUACAUAGACCGCAACCCCUUGUCUUACCAGAGGCCGCUGUUCUAUCCUGCCGAAAAAGGUUAAAACCUGCCAGCUGUAUGUUAUACGUUCAGCCAGGACUCGGUGAAACAUAAGAUAUUCGUUUUUAAUGUCCCGUUGGUAGGAGAUACAUGAUCUACUAUUUUAUUAUUGAUUGAUUAUACAUUGGCUAAUAGGACCGACGGUACAGGUAAAUUACCCUCUCGCCGACAGAUCCUAACAAGGCACCCGGAUCUUCGUCCAUGAUACCUCCGUCUCUUUCUCCUGCGAAUGACCGGGAUGAGGGCCCUUUCGAGCGUCUGAAGUUUUAAUGUUUGACCUAGAUAGUUUGUGUGUAUGUAUUGAUAUGCAAGCUACGUGUGCCUUUAAAAUAAAUUGAUGUAGUUCUGUCCUUGAGCUGUUGUCAAUUAAUGUUCAGUAUUUAAGUGAUAAUGCCCGAGAAGCCGGUGUUUGGAGGAUAUAUAGGCACGGGUGUUGUUAGGCCCGAGACGAAGUGCCAAUAUAUCCUCCAAACACCGGCUUUGUUGGCAUUAUCACUUUUAUACAACAGGUUACCAACAUAUUCAAAUAAUGAUUAACAUAUUUUCAUUAAAAACAAUUAUUUUUUGAAUUUAUUCAUACUAUUUCAUUAUUCCACAAUAUAUAGUCCCGAAACAAAUCUAGGGUUGCUGGUCGUUCGUUCUAUUGGUUCUCUUGCCAGAGACGCUACCCAGUUGUUUAGUCUUUUUGUUCUGUAUCUAUGGACGUGACUCAGUCGUUUGUUCUAAAUGUUCAAUUGCCAUACUGGCUGGCAACGUUCUUAUCCCUUGCUUGCUAGCUAGCCAACAACGGCUAACUGACAGUCACGUCACACAUUGAAUACAGAAUAAGAACUGUUGCUGCAUUUCUUUAAGCUGUUUCUAGUGACAUUUAUUUGGAUACAUCCACAACAAUGAGCUAAAGAGGUACGAUUUUGACUGGCAUAGAAAAUGUGCUCUCUCGUUAGGCCACUCUUGUGCUAACCAACAACACAGCUAAAAUAAUAACUUCCAUCUGAAACUGGAAAGACUGCAAACUAGCUGCACUUUGUUUAGUUUUUUCAAUUGACAUUUCUUUGUAUAUAUCCAUAAACAUGAUGCCAGCUGAUUCAUGAUUUAGACUGGCUGAGAAACACUGCCUGACAGACUGUCUCGUCCCGACUCCCGACAUGUUCAUUACUAUGGGACAGCUGAAUUUGAUCGAAUUUGAAUAUUGAAACAAUAUUUGAAAAUUGAACCAAUAUUGCAAAUGUCACAGAGAGACAGACAGCAAGUUUGAUACAAAUCUCUGCUGUUGAAAACUAAAUGUUAGUCUAAAAGAAAUGUGAGAUAAUGGCUAGUUGCUUUUUAUAGUGGAGAUCAAGUCAUCAGCCCAGGCAGUGGAUUGCCCAGUCAGAUAGAACAGAGUAAAUAGGCAUUUUAACAUCAUAGAUUUAGUUUGUGGUAACUUGUGGAAUAGACACGUCUGGAGUGCUCAUUUAACCAAUCAGCAUUCAGGAUUAGACCCACUCGUUGUAUAAUAUGUCAUGUUUUGUGUGGACCCCAGGAAGAGUAGCUGCUGCUUUUUCGACAGCUAAUGGGGAUCCUAAUAAACUAGCCUACUUCUAGGGUCAAAUUAGGAGGGACCACUGUAAUUGUUGGGUGGAUUUCAAGUGUGUUUCUUGACUUAUUGAGUUUAAGUGUAUUUGGGACGUUUGAUCUGUUACUUUUAAUGCCAGGCAGCUGUACAUUUAUAAUUUCAAAGAAUGAUGACUAAUCCUAUUACAUUUCAAGCAUUGCUUUCAAGGAAACUGUUUUUCUUCUAAUGUAUUUUUCACAUCUAGUGGUUGAAUAUUUGUAUAUUUCAGUAUACUCUACUGUACAUACUACACCAUGUUGUACUGUAUAUUGUAAGUGUAACUUAAAUCAUGUGUCAGCAAAAUGUUCUCCAACCUAUGCUUUUCUAUGCUUUUACAUUUGGACUGUGCUCAUGCAUUAUUGUGCCAAUUUAUAUUUGAUAUAAAAACAUGUCUUGUAAAUUAUGCCAUGCCAAUUAUAUUUUACAUCACAUUUGGUCAGAAAACACGAGUGCCUCAUUUAUCAUUCUGUGUAUUUAUGUGAUGUAUUUUUCCACGAAGUUCAGAUUGCGCAAUGUUGUGACUCCAGUGUUUUUACAGGAAAUUAGUAACAUUACUGUAUACAACACAGAUUAGCCAUACACUCUUUGUCACGGCUCCCCUUCCUGUUUGGGUGGCGCUCGGCGGUCGUCAUCACCGGUCUACUAGCUGCCACCAAUUCCCUUUUCCUUUUCUGUUGGUUAUGUCUGUAUUGGUUUCACCUGUUUCUCGUUUGGGGUUUGGUUUAGGGCUAUUUAAGCCUGUUAUGCCCGCCUGCUUUUGUGCAGGCUUAUUUCUCUGUUCUGUUUUGUGGAUGGUAUUGUUUGUAUUUUUCCGGACUGUUUGCGUCCUGUUUUUGGGCCGGUCAUUUAUUCGCCUGUUGUUUUUGGCAUGACCUUUUCUCACCGGAAUAAAUACGAUUUUCCUUAAACCUCUGCUCUCUGCGCCUGACUCCGCACCCACCACUCCUAGUUACGUCACACUCUUUCAGUCUUUCUGGUGAAGAGGUGACUGGUUGUUGAACUUUUUCACUAGAAACCAGCCUAUAUGUAUAACUAAUUAAGUGUUUAUAUAUGUAGUGUUUAUAUAAGUGUUUAUAUAUGUAUAUAGUGUUUAUGUAGUGUUUAUAUGUAGUGAACAAAGUGAAAACCAAAUUCAGUUGAGC
ensembl:lncRNA